GUGUGUGUGUGUGUGUGUGUGUGUGUGUGUGUGUGUGUGUGUGUGUGUGAAGUUAUUUAUCCAAGCAUUAUUUGUAAAAUAGGAAACUUGAAAUCACAGUUGGAGAAUAACAAAUUAAGGAAUCCAAGGGUAGACAGUCUUUCUAAAAAUAUUCGGAAACCUUUACAAAUAUUGUUUAGCAAGUCCAGGUAACAUCAUGGGAAAAUGAUUUUCAUGUAAUAGUAAAAUGAACAAUGCAAGAGACACGUGUAAAAAUGUUAACUAUACACAGAAAAGGUAUGACAACCCAAACUCCCCCUAAAUAUGAAUAAUGAUUUGGUACAUGUGUGAUAAUGCUUUUCCAGAUCUUGCAUAUUGAUAGAUUAUAUAGAAAUGCAUACAGAAAGAAAAUGAAGCCUUCCCUUUUUACAAAUAAAGGAAGCAAGCUGCAUCCGGCGCUGUGGCUGGGCAGGAGGGGGAGCCUGGGCAGGGCUGGAGUUGGACAAGAGGGCUUCUCAUUGAUGCCACGUCAGCUGUCCCCCACCCUCAGGCCCUUGGAUCUACCCUUACCCAUCUCUGCAACCUGCCAUUCUCUGCUCCCCUUCCCCUGUGCCUGCCCAGAAUCUCUCAACUGAUCUGGUGAAUUGAAGAAAUCUCCACGCCUGGCAUUGGAAGCACUCACACUUCGGCCGGGGUUUAGGGAUUCUCGAUUAAAAUAAGUAAGAAUGAAGAAUUAAGCAGUUAAAGGAUGACUAGGUCUCUACCCCCAACAGCCCCCUUGGCCAUCCUGCAGGCAGAUCACGAGGGCAAGAUAACAUCUGAAGAGAGAGUCAGCUAUCUGCACGCAAUGGAGAAGGAUGCAGAACCCAACCUCCUGCCUCGACAAGUCACUGAGAUUCUUCCCCCCAUUUUUCCCUUUAAAAACUGUCAUGGCCGAGCAGAAUCUUCAGAGUUGGUCUCUGGACACGAGUCCUCUUUCUCCCCAGAUUGCUGGCUUUUCUGAUUAAAGCACCUUUUCUUUCUAUUGACGUUUGCCUCCCGAUUAUUGGCUUUUGAGUGGUGAGCAACCGAACCUGAGUUUGG